UACGAAGGGGGCUAGCGUUGCUCGGAUUGACUGGGCGUAAAGGGCGCGUAGGCGGUUCGUACAGUCAGACGUGAAAUUCCUGGACUCAACCUGGGGCUGCGUUGAUUACGUACGGACUUGAGUGCGGAAGAGGGUCGUGGAAUUCCCAGUGUAGAGGUGAAAUUCGUAGAUAUUGGGAAGAACACCGGUGGCGAAGGCGGCGACCUGGUCCGAUACUGACGCUGAGGCGCGAAAGCGUGGGGAGCAAACAGG
rnacentral:rRNA from 1 species